ACUGUUAUUUAAUAUUUUGUAUACCAAUUUUAGUGUCAAUUUGUUAUUACUAUUACUUUUUCAAAUAAUAUUUAGCGUAUUUAUUCAAUAGACUAUUAAAAUACUUAGUCAGUAAACACGAAACCACAAACGGAAUUCGAAUGCGGUAAAACCAAACGGAAAUGUUUGUAGAUGGCCAUCUUCUAGAGAAAAAUACGAAAAAUAGGAGAUAAUAACUAUAUGUAUUUCGGCGUAUUGAAUCAGUCAUCGACCCAUUGUAGCUAAAAGUGCAACGCAGCCAAGGAUGUCAUCUUUAUAAUGAGCAAUCGACGUUGAAAAAAAAACCCAAGAUUAUAUUUUACAGGCGUAUUGUGUGCAAAUGGCGUCGAUUGUUUAUCGAAAGAGAAAGAUUUUAACGACAGGCGCAGUACAAGUACACAAUAUUUUGAAAUUGUAUUAACAAUAACAUUUUUUUGAUAAUCCGCAGGGAAAAAAAUAACCACCACGCAAUAAAUAAAUAAUACGCAUAUUGUGUACGGUGUAUCUACCUAUGAAGAAACGGCUAAUGUCUAAACAACUUUCCAUUGAAUAAUUGAUACAAAAUACGCUGCGAGUAAUGGAAAAUGUGCAGUAUGUGUUCCACAUGGAUGUCAAACGUAUUCCCGGUAAGGCAAUAGAUGUGCAAUUAUUCAUUUAACCGAGACUAAAGGAUUUCAUUUCUGUUUAAGCUUCGCGCAAAAACGACGUUCAGAUAAAAUACAAUGUUGAAUAUUAUUACUCAUAUAGAUUGUGUAGGUAUUAUGCGUACAAUGUGAAUAAUAUAAUACCUGUGUAAUACCUAUAUUUUAUACGGGCUGCGUUUGAAUUAUUCGAAUUCCCGUGUCAACAGCAAUUAGUAACACGAUUUUCAUGUAAAUAUCAAACUACUUGUUUUCGCAAUGUGCCAUACAUAUUGUACCUACAUGAAAAACCAAGAAAUCAUCGUUUAGGUAUGUCUGCAGAACUCGAUAUCAAUGAACCUGUGGAUCGAUCACGGUGAAUGUUCAACGAUUCGACGAGGGUCAAGUUCUAUCGCAGGCAUUAUUAUAAUAUACAGAUUCGACGAGAUAUCCUGUACACGGCGGCCUAACCUUCCUUGCAAAACCACUCGUCCGCCCAAGCUUACCUCCUAGACCUACC